AUGAGAAAGGAAGGAAAUAGGCGGCCUUCUUACUCUCCCAACCAAACACCCUUCUGUCUGACUCGGGAACUUAGGGAAUCACCCCAGAGCUUCAAGUACAAGGUAGAGGGAUCCCAGGGAGUGCCAGGUCUCGGAGAAGGUGAGGGCAACACCCAGAAACAUCCUCUAGAAGGACAUGUGGAAAUAACUAGGUUAGACCGCUAUAAAGACUUCCAAAGAGAAUGGAUCUGGGGAAUCAGAGACAGGGACAGUGUCUCUCAUCCCCUCCAGAGAGCAGAACAGAGUUCCUCGCAACCCCUUUCCUGCCGUGACGGGUCCUGUCUGCCUCUGUCCAGCAGACCCUACCCAGCGCACCCCUCUGAGAGAGACAGCACUCAGGGCCCCCAGCAUCCCUCCUCACAAGGGAUGAGCCCAGGCCUCUGCUGUGGGGAAUGAGCAGCCGCUGCCUAGAUCCUAAUCUCCACACUCCCACCUUGUCCUCUGUAGCUGUAGCACCUCCAUUGCACACCCAGCUAAGCUCUGAGCUCCCAUUUGAGGGAGCCACCGCUACACAGUGCUGCAGAGGACGGUUGGUUAUGAGCCCUACCAAGGGUGCCACAUUGAAUCCAGCAGAGCCUUUGUACAACCUCGGGCUACCUCUCACCACGAGGUAGCCUGUUACAAAGUUCCCAAGUUAUUCUGAUGUCUGCUCCUGGGAGUCAGAUCCUGGGGCUGCUGAGCCAGGCUUUCCUAGGGCCAAGGUACACAGCAGUUCCAGGAUUCAUCCGCCAGGCUGACCAUGGGCUGACAACAGCACCAGGAGACUCACCGGGAGACUGGGUGGGGGUGGGGCGGCAGCCAGUGCAGGUAGGCUGGCCACUGAGGUGACUAAACAGGGAGAAAGCAGGCUGAGGUGAUCUGGCCAGUCCUCCCUCACUCCCCUGUGAAAUAGGAAAUCCAUCUUACUACAGGUAAAGGCUAUGAGCUGGGAGAGGUCUCACCGGUUGGCAGAGGUCUCACAACGCCCAGUAGGCAGGUACAGGCAAUGCCUACUUAGAUGCCCCUAGUUCCUGGUUCUCAUACUGAUUGAAUAGCCAGAUCCAGGUUGAAGUAGUGGGCACGGAAACAGUCGACAGGCCUGUCCACACUGGCUGCUGGGAGGAAAGCCAGCAUGGCAGGAUAUGAUAGACAGGACACCAGAGAGCAGAACAGCAGAAGGGAGCCAUGGGCAAUGGUCCCGGGGCACAGCUGAGGAGCAGAAGUCUUGAUCUUUAGCCUGGCUCCCCAGAGUUUGGCUGUGUGACCUCGGACUAAGCCUCUUUCUGAGCCUCAGUUUACCAAGACUUGCAUAUGGAAACUCUGACCUCCACCAUCUCCCUAUCAGAUCUGAGCAGGGCAGCCUUGGGGACACCAACAGAAGAGACAAGCUGAGGGUCUGUGCCACACUGCCGUUCUC
rnacentral:lncRNA from 1 species